UGCAGUCGAGAAUUUUGGGCAAUGGGGGCAACCCUGACCCAGCAAUGCCGCGUGCGGGAUGAAGGUCUUCGGAUUGUAAACCGCUGUCAAGAGGGACGAAUGCAAUUGACGGUACCUCUGGAGGAAGUCACGGCUAACUACGUGCCAGCAGCCGCGGUAAUACGUAGGUGACAAGCGUUGUUCGGAUUCAUUGGGCGUAAAGGGUCCGCAGGUGGUUUGAUAAGUCUGACGUGAAAUACCGGAGCUCAACUCCGGAACUGCGUUGGAGACUGUUGAACUGGAGUAUCGGAGAGGAAAUUGGAAUUCCAGGUGUAGCGGUGGAAUGCGUAGAUAUCUGGAAGAACAUCGACAGCGAAGGCAGAUUUCUGGACGAUAACUGACACUCAGGGACGAAAGCAUGGGGAGCAAACAGGAUUAGAUACCCUGGUAGUCCAUGCCCUAAACGUUGUAAACUUGAUAUGGGGAGAUUUACUCCUUUCCGUGUCGAAGCUAACGCGAUAAGUUUACCGCCUGGGAACUACGGCCGCAAGGCUACAACUCAAAUGAAUUGAAGGA
rnacentral:rRNA from 1 species